rnacentral:rRNA from 1 species
GAUCUGGCUCAGGAUGAACGCUAGCUACAGGCUUAACACAUGCAAGUCGAGGGGCAGCAUGUUGGUUGCUUGCAACCAACGAUGGCGACCGUCGCACGGGUGAGUAACGCGUAUCCAACCUUCCGCAUACUCGGGAAUAGCCUUUCGAAAGAAAGAUUAAUGCCCGAUGGUUUCCCGAAUCCGCAUGAGAGCGGGAAUAAAGAUUCAUCGGUAUGCGAUGGGGAUGCGUCCCA